UUAGUUACCUGGCAGGAGACAGACCAUGCCCGAAGGUGGUUUUCCCAGAGCCAGGCUCAUUCAUUGCACUCCAGGUGUGCUGACUCCUGCACUUGUCCCAGAUGUGGGAAACUCACCUGCAUAAUUUGUGGAGCAUUGCACUUGAACUCUUCAAAACAAGG
ensembl:snRNA U1 U1 spliceosomal RNA